GAUGAACGCUGGCGGCGUGCCUAAUACAUGCAAGUCGAGCGAGAAGCUUGGAAAUGACGCUUCGGUUGAUUUUCCAAGCGGACAGCGGCGGACGGGUGAGUAACGCGUAGGCAACCUGCCCCUGACAGAGGGAUAGCCAUUGGAAACGAUGAUUAAAACCUCAUGACACCGUAGUAGCACAUGCUACAUCGGUCAAAGAUUUAUCGGUCAGGGAUGGGCCUGCGUCUGAUUAACUGGUUGGUGAGGUAACGGCUCACCAAGGUGACGAUCAGUAGCCGACCUGAGAGGGUGAUCGGCCACAUUGGAACUGAGACACGGUCCAAACUUCUACGGAAGGCAGCAGUAGGGAAUCUUGCACAAUGGGGCGAAAGCCCUGAUGCAGCAAACCGCCACGUGAAAGGGA
rnacentral:rRNA from 1 species